CGCAGCCGGAGAGAGCUUCACGCACACCAUCUCUUCGUUCUUCCUGAACUCUGUCACGGAGGGGGCCUUUGUUUAUUUAUUUUUGGGAAAUCUGCUUCGCCACUGAAGGUACUCUGCACCCCAGAAGGAAUACGACUUCAGUGUUUCAUGAAGUAUUUUACAGACGAAAUGAAAGUGAACUGGUGUCACAAAGAUGCUAAGAUCUCAUCCAGUGAGCAUAUGAGAAUCGGGGGGAGUGAAGAGAUGGCUUGGCUGCAGAUAUGUGAGCCGACUGAGAAGGAUAAAGGAAAAUACACUUUUGAGAUUUUCGAUGGCAAAGACAACCAUCAACGCUCCCUUGACCUGUCCGGACAAGAGCUGCUGCUUUUGCAGAGAAGAAUCGUGGCAGGUUGAUCGGCGGCUUGCCUGACGUGGUGACCAUCAUGGAAGGGAAGACCUUGAAUCUGACCUGCACGGUGUUUGGAAACCCUGACCCCGAAGUGAUUUGGUUCAAGAACGACCAGGACAUCCAGCUCAGCGAGCACUUCUCGGUGAAGGUGGAGCAGGCCAAGUACGUCAGCAUGACCAUCAAAGGCGUGACCUCCGAGGACUCGGGCAAGUACAGCAUCAACAUC
rnacentral:misc_RNA from 1 species